rnacentral:rRNA from 1 species
AACGAACGCUGGCGGCAGGCCUAACACAUGCAAGUCGAGCGAAGCCUUCGGGCUUAGCGGCGGACGGGUGAGUAACGCGUGGGAACGUGCCCUUUGGUACGGAAUAGCCCCGGGAAACUGGGAGUAAUACCGUAUGUGGUCGAGAGACGAAAGAUUUAUCGCCAAAGGAUCGGCCCGCGUUGGAUUAGGUAGUUGGUGGGGUAAUGGCCUACCAAGCCGACGAUCCAUAGCUGGUUUGAGAGGAUGAUCAGCCACACUGGGACUGAGAAACGGCCCAGACUCCUACGGGAGGCAGCAGUGGGGAAUCUUAGACAAUGGGGGAAACCCUGAUCUAGCCAUGCCGCGUGAUCGAUGAAGGCCUUAGGGUUGUAAAGAUCUUUCAGUGGGGAAGAUAAUGACUGUACCCACAGAAGAAGCCCCGGCUAACUCCGUGCCAGCAGCUGCAGUAACAC